rnacentral:rRNA from 1 species
CCUACGGGAGGCUGCAGUGGGGAAUAUUGGACAAUGGGCGAAAGCCUGAUCCAGCCAUGCCGCGUGUGUGAAGAAGGUCUUCGGAUUGUAAAGCACUUUAAGUUGGGAGGAAGGGCAGUAAGUUAAUACCUUGCUGUUUUGACGUUACCAACAGAAUAAGCACCGGCUAACUUCGUGCCAGCAGCCGCGGUAAUACGAAGGGUGCAAGCGUUAAUCGGAAUUACUGGGCGUAAAGCGCGCGUAGGUGGUUUUGUAAGUUGGAUGUGAAAGCCCCGGGCUCAACCUGGGAACUGCAUCCAAAACUGCAUGACUCGAGUACGGUAGAGGGUGGUGGAAUUUCCUGUGUAGCGGUGAAAUGCGUAGAUAUAGGAAGGAACACCAGUGGCGAAGGCGACCACCUGGACUGAUACUGACACUGAGGUGCGAAAGCGUGGGGAGCAAACAGGAUUAGAUACCCUAGUAGUC